rnacentral:rRNA from 1 species
CCUACGGGGGGCUGCAGUCGAGAAUCUUCCUCAAUGGCCGAAAGGCUGAAGGAGCGACAUCGCGUGCAGGAGGAAGCCCUUCGGGGUGUAAACUGCUUUUCUCUAGGAAGAAACAAUGACGGUACUAGAGGAAUAAGGGGUUGCUAAACUCGUGCCAGCAGCAGCGGUAAUACGAGUACCCCGAGCGUUAUCCGGAUUUAUUGGGCGUAAAGCGUGCGCAGACGGUUUAUAACAUCUCCUGUUAAAUCCCAAGGCUCAACCUUGGGGCCGCGGGAGAUAUGGAUAAACUAGAGGCUGGAAGAGGUAAGCGGAAUUGCUGGUGUAGGGGUUAAAUCCGUUAAUAUCAGCAGGAACACCAAAAGCGAAGGCAGCUUACUGGAACAGUUCUGACGUUCAGGCACGAAAGCGUGGGGAGCGAAUGGGCUUAGAUACCCCGGUAGUC